AUUGAACGCUGGCGGCAGGCCUAACACAUGCAAGUCGAGCGGAUGAAGGGAGCUUGCUCCUGGAUUCAGCGGCGGACGGGUGAGUAAUGCCUAGGAAUCUGCCUGGUAGUGGGGGAUAACGUCCGGAAACGGGCGCUAAUACCGCAUACGUCCUGAGGGAGAAAGUGGGGGAUCUUCGGACCUCACGCUAUCAGAUGAGCCUAGGUCGGAUUAGCUAGUUGGUGGGGUAAAGGCCUACCAAGGCGACGAUCCGUAACUGGUCUGAGAGGAUGACCAGUCACGCGGGAAAUGAGAGACGGUCCAGAGCACGAGGGGGGGAGGGAGGGGGGAUUUUUGGAGAGGGGGGGAGGGGUUGAGCCAGCCUUGCGGGGGGGGUGAAGAAGGUCUGGGGAUUGAAAACUAUUUUAAGUUGGGAAAAAGGGAAGAAAGUUAAUACCUUGUUGUUUGGAGGUUACCAAAAGAAUAAACCCCGGCAAACUUC
rnacentral:rRNA from 1 species